CUUCACCUUCAUGCUGAGCAGGAUCUGUAUCUCUGUCAUCUUUCUGCAGUAUGGCCGAUACUGAGCGCUCCAGAAUAACUGCUCUUUGGAAAGCAUGAGUGAUCUGAGUAAUGCAGAACUUGCUUUUUCCUGGGAUAAUCCAUAGAGAUGGAUAUUGGGCAAUGAAAAUGCAGAAGGAAGCCAGGAUCAUGGGAUCUCAUUGGACAAGCAGGAGGAAAGGGAUCCACCCGGCCUUGCCAGCCCUCCGUGUUCAGGGCAGAAUGAAAGGGCGUCCAGAGCUUGCUAGUAUUUGAGUGGUGCACUGGGACAGCGCAGUGUCCUGGCCCUUGUUGUUUCCUCUGAAGGAAGAUGAGCCCAGAAGAGGAGGAACUUCACCACUCUAGGGGGCUU